UACGGAAGGGGCGAGCGUUGUUCGGAAUCAUUGGGCGUAAAGGGCGCGUAGGUGGUCUUGUAUGUCUACCGUGAAAGCGUACGGCUCAACCGUAUUUUGUCGGUAGAAACUGCAGGACUUGAGGCUGGGAGGGGCUGGCGGAAUUCCCUGUGUAGCGGUGAAAUGCGUAGAUAUCGGAAGGAACAUCAGUGGCGAAAGCGACUUCCUGGACCAGUACCGACGUUCAGGCACGAAAGCGUGGGGAGCAAACAGG
rnacentral:rRNA from 1 species